rnacentral:misc_RNA from 1 species
AAGUGGUCCUGGUUGUCGAGUAAUCUUUCCUCCAAGUUCUUGAUUAACCAGGUUGACAACCUCAGCACUCUUGUAUACAUCAUCAGUACUGAUGGCAACCUGAGCAUAUGCAUUUCCCUUGGUAUACUCUGUCACACCAUAAUUAUAAGUCAACUCUAGCACUGUUGUCUCUAGUUCAUCGGCAUAUCCCAUCAUGGCUAGGGUAUACUUGUAUUCUGGCCUAUCAACCUUCUUCAAUAGCCUCAUUCCCAAGGCCUUCUCAUAAUACUUGAUAGAGCGUUCUAGGUCACCAACACGAAGCAUUACUUGACAGAGUGGCUCGGGAGUAGGACCUCUUUGGAUGAGUUCAAAAAUAUAACCAUCAGGAUCCUUUGCAAAGGCAAUAACGGAGGAUCCUCCUUUGACAGGGCCAGGCUCCCUGGUAAUGCUCCCACCCUUGGCUCGUAUAUCUUCUACAAGUUUAUAUACAUCUUGAGUUGCAAUGGCAAAAUGGCCAAAACCUGUCCCGAUAUCAUAAGAACUAACUCCAUAAUUAUAUGUCAACUCCACCACAAAAUUAGAAUCCUCUGGACCAAAUCCAAGGAAAGCAUUAGAAUAUUUCUCUUCUGGCACAUCCCUCUUCCUUAAUAAUUUCAUUCCAAAACAUUCAGUAUAAAACUUGAUAGUGCGGUCAAGGUCACCAACACGGUACACAGCAUGAAGAAACCGGCGCUUAUCUUUCUUGGGCCAUUCCAACAACUCGGCAUUCGGUGCAAGAGAUGCAGCCUCGGCCAUAGCAACUGAACUCGACUAGUCUCACAGUGUCGUGCGCUUGUCAACGGUUGCAGGGGAGAGAACAAGUGCCCUACUCUCUGAUGAGAGAUGCUGUCGGGGAACACCGUUUUUG